rnacentral:lncRNA from 1 species
CCCAACUGCAUUAAUUGCCCCAGCUGCAUUAAUUACCCAGCUACACUACUUACCCCAGUUGCAUUAAUUACCCCCAGCUGCACUAAUUACCCCAGUUGUAUUAAUUGCCCCCAGCUGCACUAAUUAGAGUACCUAGAGCUGUAUUAAUUGCUCCAGCUGUAUUAGGUACCCCAGCUGCAUUGAUUACCCCAGUUGCAUUAAUUAAUUACCCCCAGGUGCCUUAGUUACCCCAGAGCCACACUAAUUACCCUUAGCUGCACUAGUUACCCCCAUUAAUUACCCCCAGCUUCACUAAUUACCCCUCCCAGAUGCAUAAAUUACAUCCAUUUUCACUAAUUACCCCUUUCAGCUGCACUAAUUACCCCCCCGCUGCACUGAUUACCCCUAACAGCUGCAUUAAUUACCCCUAGCUUCACUAAUUACCCCCCCAGCUGCAUUAAUUGCCCCAAACUUCACUAAGUACCCCUCCCAGCUGCAUUAAUUACCUCCAGCUUCACUAAUUACCCCUCUCAGCUGCAUCAGUUGCCCCCUCGCUGCACUAAUUACCCCCUAGCUUCAUUAAUUACCCCUCCUAGCUGCACCAAUUACCCGCAAUUUCAUUAAUUACCCCUCCCAUCUGCACUAAUUACCCCCCAGCCUCAUUAAUACCCCCCCCCAUUUGCACUAAUUACCCUCUAGAUGCACUAAAUACCCCCCCAACUCCACUAAUUACCCGCCAGCCUUACUAAUUACCCCUCCCAGCUGCCCCAAUGCCCCCCGGCAGCACUAAUUACCCCUCCCAGCCGCACUAAUUACCCCCUUUAAUCACUAAUUCCCCCCCCGGCCGCCAUUUUGAGGCUCGGCCACCAGAGGGCGCUCGCGCCGCGGCCUCGCCGCCGCCUCCCACAAUGCAGCGGGACGGCCGCGGCUCCGCGCGCCUCCUGCCUUCGGCUCCGUUCGGCUCCGCUCGGAACCGCUUCGGCUCCGCUCGGCCGGGCUCGGAACCGCUCGGCCGGGUUCGGAACCCUUCGGAACCGCUCGGAACCGCUCGGCUGGGUUCGGCUCCGCUCGGCGGGCCGCGGCCGCGGGGUGAGCGCGGAGCCCCGCGCAGCCCCCGCCCGCCCCAGGCUUCUCCUUCGCUUCACUUGGGAAGUUUUCAUGCAGGAGCGAAGCCCUUCGUCCCCAGAUGCCUUCUGCUUCUCCCUCGCGAGGCUUUUCCAGCCCCAAGCACCGGUUUGGACGGCCCGGACCGCAGCCAGAGCAGCGCCAGCGUUUCCUUGCAUUGUUCUGGUUCCCCCCGCGACGUCCACGCGCUGCCUUUUGCAUCAGCUGCUCCCCGGGGUCCGUCUGUGUCCUGUUCCUCCUCCUGUCCCAAUUCUGCUCCCGGCUGUAGGACGGGACGGCCAGGCAUGCAACAGGGUGGUUUGUAUCCCUCAAAGCAGACGAAAUGGUGA